UUAAGCACCCUGCUAAGAAUUAGGAAAUUAGUCAAAUGGGAUCAUAUUUAGGUUGAGCUAAUACUGCACAGCUGAAUUUACCCACCAUUAUCUGCGGGCAUAAUUGGAGACAACUGUUUUUUGGACCAGCUGUGCAGGUCACAAAAGGAUAAUAAUGGGGGCCCAGCCUUGCUAUGUCAGAUUGAUAAAUGUUUAUAGCACCGUGUGACUGGAGGAGCUGGCUUUAAACAGUGCAGCCUCUUCUUUGCGUCUGCUUGUUGGCUGUUGAUCCCCGGGUCCUGAAAACAUAGGGAGAUUUAUCAGACAAGGCCUCCGAUAUUCAUGAACACAGCAGACGCUGAUAACACCAGCUAUUCCCAGGUUUCCAGUCUCCAGAGCAAAAUGAUCUUGCUUUCUCUGCUCAAGAUGGCAUCAUAGAACUUCCUCCAGGAUCUUACUGUUAUAAAAUACAUCAGAAAAGACCCUCUGCUGUCAGAAUUAGCAUUUCCACCACAAACCAAACCAUGUUUCUAAUCCAUUCCUUUCUAAAUUAGCGAUGUUUCUUGAUGGUAUGGGAAGGGGGAAGGGACAACAACAGUUGUAAAAUGUUUUUUAUUGAAACUUAAAGGCAAUUAUUUCUGAAUUCCCAUCUCCUUAAUUCAAAGUGUCACUGUUUUGUGUUUAAUCAGUACUUAACAAGCCUUAUUGUGAAGCGAAAGACCUAAACAAUGUCUGUAAUAGGCUGGGAGGGUUAGCUGAACUUUGUUUAAAUAUAAAGGGAGUAGUGCAUCUGCUGAAGAACUAAGCCCUUUCAAAGUUUAGGACACUCACCAGUGCCAUGCAGCAUAAAUCACAGUGCAAACUGUGUGAUUAUACCCUGCAGGGAAAUAGACUGUGUGUUUAUGGGGCUCUUCACCAAGCACUUAGGAAUAAUCUGAUAUAAAGCAGCAGGGGAGGAGAGUAAUGACAACUUCAAAUUAGUUUAAUGAAUGUUUACAUUAAAAAAGGCUUUUCCACAAACCUGAAAACACAAAGUGACGGUUUCCUCUCCAGACAAAAACCCCCUCUGCUUUUCCUUAGAGUACUGGAUGGAGGAGACAUUGUAAAUUUAACUCUUUCAGUACAAUAAGCCAUAGUAUCUUUAUGUUCAGUGGUUUGCUGUCAUUAUAAUGAGAGUUGCUAGCAAUCCAAUUAUAAACAGCAGUAUCUGGCUGGUAGCUCAUCUAUUUUAAAUCACACUGAUCUCAGGGAAAAAAAAAAGAACAAAGGUUGAGAAUUUCAUUCCCAUGAAAGAACAAACAUCUCAAAAUGAACUUUGCCAACUUUCUGUGGAACACAUGCUUAGUAUAUCUUUGGCUGUAUUCAUUCAACAGGCUAAUGUGAGGUUUGAGAGAUUCUUUUCACUUCAAGCAACAUACAAUGAGUUUAUAAAGAUAAAAAAGGGAGGAAGGGCAAAGUGUUAAACAAAAUAGAAAUAAUGCAGUACUUCUAGUUUUCUUCUCAGACUCAAGGUAAAUAAUUUCUCAAUAUUCCCACAUAUGCACAAGGCGCCAUCAUAUAUACAGUGAAUUCUUGGGUAGUUUGGAAGAAUAAACAGCUUGUGCCUCUGUAGCAGUUAAGAUCCUUCUAUCUGAGGACUUACUGUGCAUUUCAGAUCCGGCAUUGCAGGAUUUUUCACUGCCACAAGGUAUUUUCAUGAAACAUUUUUAAAACUUUUUUCAGUGGGGCAUUUUGAAUUGCAUCAGGUGGAAAUUUGUUUUUUGCCUUUACAGAGUAGAUGCAAAGUUUUCCACUAAGAAUUCUGCGAAUGAGUAAGCAUAUAUAAAGAAAAGAAAA